GGCCAGAUAGCUCAGUCGGUAGAGCAGAGGACUGAAAAUCCUCGGGUCGGUGGUUCGAUUCUGCCCCGGGGCACCA
rnacentral:tRNA from 1 species